GCGCCUGUUUAACAAAAACAUUGCCCUAUGGUAACCUAUAUAGGGUAAUUCCUGCCCAGUGAUAUUUCAACGGCCGCAGUACCCUGACUGUGCAAAGGUAGCAUAAUCAUUUGCCUUUUAAUUGAAGGCUAGAAUGAAAGGAUUAACGUAAAUAAAACUGUCUCAGUACUACCAAUAUAAUCUAGACUCUAGGUGAAAAUACCUAGAUAAUAAUAAAGGACAAAAAGACCCUAUAGAGCUGCAUUUUUUAUAAUCUAUAAAAUACAUUAUAUUAUAUUCAUUUCAAAAAAAUUUUGUUGGGGCGACAGAGGAGUAUAAAAAUCCUCCUUUAAUUAUUAGACAUAUAUGUCCACUAAAUGAUCCUAAUAAGAUCAAAAGAAUAAGCUACCUUAGGGAUAACAGGCUAAUCCUUUUAGAGAGUUCACAUUGACAAAAGGGAUUGGCACCUCGAUGUUGGCUUAAGAUAUCCUUUAGGUGCAGAAGCCUAAAUUGGUUGGUUUGUUCAACCAUUAAAAUCUUACGUGAUCUGAGUUCA
rnacentral:rRNA from 1 species